AAUUACAUCCAGAUAUGUAGACCACCUAGCGAUGACUACAAGCGCCGAACCGAACCGAAGACAUGCCGCCUAUGGGGAAACAUAGUAGAAAACAAAAAAAUCGCCCUGUGAUCACCCAGGAACAAUAUGAAGAUGCAUAUAGGGUUUGGAUCAACGAUCGUUACCAAUUCUGGAGUGCGGGGGAAGUAGACGAAUCGGUGUUGAUCAUACUUGGAGUCCCUCGAACCAUUGAUGAUGAUCCCGCAAACUGCCCUUGAAUGAUCCAUCGAACAGAAUACCGAAAGCACGACCUCUGUACUUGGUUGCAAGCGUACGAUCUUCAUGAUCCGGCAGUGCUUUGCCGUCCAUAGCUAAUCGUAGUCGGAGAAUUAAAGGGAGGAUAUUAGAACCACACUUGACUUAUAAUUAUGAGGAUUAGAGGAAGUAGGUCUAGCUCUAAUUAGUCAGCUAGGAUCAAUUAGAACUAGAACUAGAUGAACUGGAGGAGGCUCCAAAACUUGUGCGUCCAAAUGGGCCAAUACCUCAUGUAUAUAUAGGUUAGAGGGAGGGGGAGGGUGCGCCGGCCAAGGGGAGGAGUUGGAGUCCUCCCCUAGUCCAAUUUGCCCCCACAUACACAAGGAAAGGGGGCGUCACUUCCUAUUGGGCCAUGGUGGCCCAAUACUCCUCCCACCACUUGGCCUUUUAAGCCCCGUUGAUAUUAAAAUAAAUAUAAAAGACCUCUAAAAAUUACUAUGCCUUUUGUUAUUAAUUCACAUCCGGAAACAUUUUCCACUUAUAUAUUAUGUAUCGGUAAUACCCGAUAUUGCCCGAUAAACUCCGAACCCUUCCGGUGACCCCGAAACCCUUCCGGUUCCUCUCGAAACUAUUUUGAAUAUUAAUGAAACAUUUCCACAAAUAAAUACUCAAUACUUUCGUGCUACUAAACUCAGCAGAUCAUGAUUACUUAAGCUUGUGACCCUGUAGGUUCAGUAAAUCAUAGACAUGAACGAAACUCCUUCGUCAGUGACCAAUAACAGAACCGUGGACGUCCAUAUUGAUCCCUAUGAUUACAUGAAUGAUAUUCGAGUGAACCUUUGGUUAUCAUGUGAUGUUUCCCUUUGCUUCAUGAUACUUUACAAAACCCAUGAUGCAUCGGUAUCCUUCUGAGUCAUGCACAUGCUCAUUAUACCGUUGCCCUCGUUACCUGUUUUGUUCUUCUUUCUCGUUGAAGUCUUCCGGCAUCCCCGUGAUGUAGUCACUUGUGCCUAGCCAGACGAUGAUAGAUGCCAUCAUAACGAGAGGCCCUAUGAAUAUCUCUCCAACGCCGGAGGAGCAAAUCCCACUCUCGAGCCAUCUAGUCC
rnacentral:lncRNA from 1 species